CCUACGGGUGGCAGCAGUGAGGAAUAUUGGUCAAUGGGCGCUAGCCUGAACCAGCCAAGUAGCGUGAAGGAUGACUGCCCUAUGGGUUGUAAACUUCUUUUAUAAGGGAAUAAAGUGCAGUAUGUAUACUGCUUUUCAUGUAACUUGUGAAUAAGGAUCGGCUAACUCCGGUCCCGCAGCCGCCGUAAUACGGAGGGUUCGAGCGUUUUCCGGAUUUAUUGGGGUUAAAGGGAGCGUAGGCGGGUUGUUAAGUCAGUUGGGAAAGUUUGGGGCCCAACCGUAAAAUUGCAGUUGAUACUGGCAUCCUUGAGUACAGUAGAGGUAGGCGGAAUUCGUGGUGUAGCGGUGAAAUGCUUAGAUAUCACGAAGAACUCCGAUUGCGAAGGCAGCCUGCUGGACUGUAACUGACGCUGAUGCUCGAAAGUGUGGGUAUCGAACAGGAUUAGAUACCCCGGUAGUC
rnacentral:rRNA from 1 species